AACUUUGGACAAUGGGGGAAACCCUGAUCCAGCCAUCCCGCGUGUAUGAUGAAGGCCUUCUGGUUGUAAAGUAAUUUUGGCAGAGACGAAAAGGUACCUCCUAAUACGAGGUACUGCUGACGGAAUCUGCAGAAUAAGCACCGACUAACUACGUGCCUGCAGCCGCGGUAAUACGUUGGGACCAAGCGUUAAUCGGAAUUACCGGGCGUAAAGCGUGUGUAGGCGGUUCGGAAAGAAAGAUGUGAAAUCCCAGGGGUCAACCUUGAAACGGCAUUUUUAACUGCCGAGCUAGAGUAUGUCAGAGGGGGGUAGAAUUCCACGUGUAGCAGUGAAAUGCGUAGAUAUGUGGAGGAAUACCGAUGGCGAAGGCAGCCCCCUGGGAUAAUACUGACGCUCAGGUACGAAAGCGUGGGGAGCAAACA
rnacentral:rRNA from 1 species